rnacentral:rRNA from 1 species
UACAGAGGUCCCAAGCGUUGUUCGGAUUCACUGGGCGUAAAGGGUGCGCAGGUGGUCGGGUAAGUCUGAUGUGAAAUCCCGCAGCUUAACUGCGGAAUGGCAUUGGAUACUAUUCGGCUAGAGGGUUGGAGGGGGGACUGGAAUUCUCGGUGUAGCAGUGAAAUGCGUAGAUAUCGAGAGGAACACCGGUGGCGAAGGCGGCAUCCUGGACCGGCAUUGACGCUGAGGCGCGAAAGCCAGGGGAGCAAACGGG